rnacentral:misc_RNA from 1 species
CACCAAAAAUCGUACCAACCCAUACUUUCCCCAUACUUCUGUGCUCUGCUUCACUUGCAAUCAUCAUCACUAACUAUGCAGACGCUACUCCGGCCGGCCGCAGCAGCAGCAACGGCUGUGACGGUAGGUCCUGCGCUUUCUCUCCUCCAACGCCACCGUCUAACAGAUUACCGACCGCUCUAUCCCUCAAAUUGUCCGCGCAAAUUCACGCAAUCAAUAUCAUUCCCUUGUGCUUCAUUGUCUUAUGAUCUUCUUGAAACCAGAAAAUUGAAGGUCUCCUUUACCAAAACAAAUGCUUCUUCUACGGUUUCUCCUGCUUUCACUCACUCAAACGAUGAGGCGGGGAGGGCCAAGCUAGCUCAGGUUGCGAAGAGAUUGGAGAUUACAUCGAGGUAUUUCAAGCGGUUGGGCAGUUUAGGGUUUUGGGGCCAACUAAUAUGCACAGUGGUAGCAGCCGUGAUUCUUUCGUUUUCUAUUGUAAUCACUGGGAAGAUCUCGUCUCCAGCUUCUUUUUAUGCUACAGCUGGUGGGAUAGCAGCUGCAUUCAUUUCGGUGUUUUGGUCAUUUGGGUAUAUUCGCCUUUCCGAGAAGCUCCGAAAAACUGCUUAUGAUCCUUCCAAGGCACCACCUCGUGCUGAUGUUGUGAAAGGCUUGAAAAAUGGCAUAGUUGUGAAUCUGUUAGGAAUGGGUGCUGCUAUUCUUGGCAUGCAAGCAACAGUUGGAUUGCUUGUAGCAAAGGCUCUUACUUCCUCAGCAAAUCCUUAUUACCAGGGAAUCUCUCCUGGUUACAGUCCAGUUCUUGCAUUGGAUGUAUUCUUGGUGCAGGCAUCAGCAAACACCAUCCUUUCUCAUUUUCUUGGGCUUGUUUUCUCCUUGGAGCUGUUGCGCUCCGUGACAUUGCCAGCUGCAGAAAGCAUACCAGUCCCAAGAGUAGCAUAAAGUCUCUUGCUUGUACUAAAUGUCAAUUGAAAUACAUGAUUUUGUAGCCAAAAUGUUGAAACUUAAGCACAAGUUUGUGAUAAAUUCAGAAAAGUGUGCAUUUCUUGUUUUAAGGUGUUGUAAAGCAGAAGCAUCACCCUUGAAAUUUAAUUGAUUUCCAAUAUUUGAGUUGGUUUCCUGGUGGAUAAAUUAGAGCAUCCCGAGCAUGAUCUAUGCAAGGCCAUGUCCAAUAUAUCAGGG